ACCAUCCUGGCUUUAGCCCCUUCUGCUUCGUCCCUCGCAUCUGCUUCUUCUAGGCUUCGUUCUUUUUGGAUCUGGAUGGGAUUUGCUUCAAUCUGCAGAUCGUUGGAGGAAACAGGCAUCAUGGCGGCGAUUUGCUUCGGGCGUUGUCGUGACCGUCAUGGAUGCCAAGCUCUUGCAAGCUUCAAUUCCCAACGCUUCGGCCCACAACGCCACUAGGCCUCCAAGACCCACUCUCGAUUCGAACAAUUUUUUCCGACCAAAUCCCUGAAGAAAACUGCUCCAUCCUCUCCAAGUUUCUUCUUCUUCUGCAACCUCUCCCAUUAGUGAGUACUCCAUGCAGCUCAAUGCUUCUCGUAUAAAGUUCUUCAGUCUCAAAAUGAUGUGGUCAACUCCAUGAAGGAGGCAGCACCCAAGGAGCUUCUGAAUGUGAGCCAAGUAAAAUGAUAAUUAUGUGUCCUAUGAGAAAAGUAAAAUGAUAAUUCAAAUUUUGAUUAGAAAAGUAGUAUUAAGGACAAAGAAUUGCGUGCCCCAGCAUGUGAUGCUCUUAUCUAUUUCCUAUCAAGUCCACAGUUUGAUGCAGAUGCAAGGCUUUGGAUGCAGAUGCAGGGCUUUUGAUUAGAAAAGUAGUAGUAAGGACAAAGAAUUUAGGUGCAAAUUCAGAGCUUUGGAGUUUGAGUGUUGUUUUGAUAAAUUAUUAAUAAAUAAAUCGAAAAGCUUGGAGCUAAAUUAAUUAAUUGUUUGUCUAUAUAUGUACUUUGCAAUGACUCUGCAAUGGCAGUAGUCUGGUGCACUGGGUUCAGUUGUU